GAGAUGUAAAUAUUGAUAAUGCUGCUUCAUCUGCCGUCAUACUUGUAACCUUCCACUUACUGCUUGACUGCUGUCACCAAGAUCAUCCUGUUUUGGCAGGAGACUGGACUUAAUGAUCUCCAAGAUCCUUUCUUGCCGCUACCAUUCUACGAUUCUAUGGUUUCAGAAAUGUCCAGCCACAGCUCUUACAUUCCUGAUCCCACCAUAUUACAGCCCUCUAAGCCACUGUACUGAGCUGAUGCAAAGCGGGAAGUACAGAGAUAGAACCUUUCAUGGAAGUGACACUUUAGAAGCUACCAAGGCCACAUCUUUUCCCAUCUGAGGCUGAGAAGUACCAGUGGGACUCCGCAUGUAUGAGUGUAUAUGUGUGUGUACACAUGUGUUUUACUGUAAAACAUGUUCCUUUCUCCCUUACCACUCAAGAUCUUUUGUUUUCAGACUUUUUCAAGUUUGAUGGACAGGCAGUUUUAGGAAAGGACUGAAAUCUUAUUUUGGAGGGGAUUUAGAUCUUAUCUGGAAUAGGGUUUCAAUCCCUUUUCAUAAUCCAGCAGCCCUGAGGCAAGCUACUACUAGGUACAUGUCCCUGCAGCUAACACCACUGUGAUAGAGGUAUGACCUUGGUUUGCUGCAGGUUCUCAGGUUCAGAAUGAUAGAGAGCAGGUUACAAAAGGACACUGAAUGAUAAAGCACGGACAGUGUUAGUGUCUGUCUACUAUAAAAUAAGAACUACCAUUAAACCUGUCAGGAUUAGAGUGAUACAGACAGAGACUUACAUGUUGGUAAAGCACGUGUGUAAAUUGAUAAAGGGAGUAUGAUUCACCAUGCUAUUGAAAUCUAUCUAAAUUCAAUAUUGUUAAACAUUCUUAAAGAUCAGAUGAAUUAUACAUGAAGUGUAUGGAUUAUUUGUCCCAGGCAAACAAUGGUGACAUUUCUGUCUGUCAGUUACUAUGACAAGGUUAGCAUGUUUUAUUCAAAAGUUUUAAACAGUAAAACGAUUUGUAUGUGCUACUCUUGCACUGGACUGCUAGGGAAAGCAGAAACCAACAUAGAUAUUCUAUGGCACAAAGUCAGAUUUUUUAUUAAACUAAUAAAAAAAAUGCUGAAAAAACAGGAUUAUUUCUAACAUCUUCAAGUUCUCUUGUCAUUUGGUGACUAGAAAAAUAAAUACCCAGGAAAGGUAAAAGAAAAGGAAACAGGGCAGAAACCUCCUCCCCUCAAAAGACGGUAUAAUGAAUAGAAAAGUUUUUAAAAAAAGAUACCUUGGUAUAUAAACCCCACGGAUUUAUAUAAAUUAAAAGAAAUAUCAGCUGGAACAAAACAUGGAAAGACAUAAUAUGAAAAAAUAAAAUAAAAUUCUUCCAGUCCUCUGAGCA